ensembl:lncRNA
CAUCACAUCCUAACACAGCACACCAGAGAGCGCAAAUACAAGCGGAAAUGCGCAUACAUUUUGCGCCGUGAAGGACGAAUAGAGGGCAUGCAAAACGGUUUGCACGCUUUUCUGCGCCUUUCUGCUCAUUUCCCUUGACAUCUGUGCAAAAUUAACUGUCUUAUGGUGCAGCUGGCGGUUAAGGCUCUGGGUUACUGAUCGGAAGGUCGGGGGUUCAAGCCCCAGCACUACCAAGCUGUCACUGUUGGGCCCCUGAGCAACGCCCUCAAUCCUCUCUUCUCCAG